rnacentral:rRNA from 1 species
GACAGAGGGUGCUAGCGUUGUUCGGAAUUACUGGGCGUAAAGGGCGCGUAGGCGGCUCGUUUAGUCGGGUGUGAAAUCCCAAGGCUCAACCUUGGAACUGCAUUCGAUACUGGCGGGCUAGAGACCGGAAGAGGUGGGUGGAAUACCCAGUGUAGAGGUGAAAUUCGUAGAUAUUGGGUGGAACACCGGUGGCGAAGGCGGGUCUCUGGGCCGAUAUUGACGCUGAGGAGCGAAAGCGUGGGGAGCGAACAGG